rnacentral:rRNA from 1 species
GACGAACGCUGGCGGCGUGCUUAACACAUGCCAGUCGAACGGAAAGGCCCUGCUUUUGUGGGGUGCUCGAGUGGCGAACGGGUGAGUAACACGUGAGUAACCUGCCCUUGACUUUGGGAUAACUUCAGGAAACUGGGGCUAAUACCGGAUAGGAGCUCCUGCUGCAUGGUGGGGGUUGGAAAGUUUCGGCGGUUGGGGAUGGACUCGCGGCUUAUCAGCUUGUUGGUGGGGUAGUGGCUUACCAAGGCUUUGACGGGUAGCCGGCCUGAGAGGGUGACCGGCCACAUUGGGACUGAGAUACGGCCCAGACGCCUACGGGAGGCAGCAGUGGGGAAUAUUGCACAAUGGGCGGAAGCCUGAUGCAGCAACGCCGCGUGCGGGAUGACGGCCUUCGGGUUGUAAACCGCUGUCGCCUGUGACGAAGCGUGAGUGACGGUAAUGGGUAAAGAAGCACCGGCUAACUACGUG